CUUGGUGUGAUUGCAGAAUCCCGUGAACCAUCGAGUCUUUGAACGCAAGUUGCGCCCGAAGCCGUCAGGCCGAGGGCACGCCUGCCUGGGCGUCACG
rnacentral:rRNA from 1 species